CCCUUAGAUGUUCUCGGCCGCACGCGCGCUACACUGAUGCAUUCAACGAGUUUCUUCCUGGUCCGAGAGGAAUGGGUAACCUUUUGAAAGUGCAUCGUGAUAGGGAUAGACUAUUGCAAUUAUUGGUCUUCAACGAGGAAUUCCUAGUAGACGUAGUUCAUCAGACUGCAUCGAUUACGUCCCUGCCCUUUGUACACACCGCCCGUCGCUCCUACCGAUUGAAUGCUCAGGUGAGCCAUUCGGACUUUCAUCAUGCUGGUUUCCAGUUUUGAUGAAGGAAAGUCUUGCGAACCUUAUCAUUUAGAGGAAGGAGAAGUCGUAACA
rnacentral:rRNA from 1 species